CACCGCGGUUAUACGAGAGACCCUAGUUGAUAAACAUCGGCGUAAAGAGUGGUUACGGAAAAGAUAAAUAAAGUCGAACAACCUCUUAGCUGUUAUACGCAUUAUGAGAGCAUGAAGCCCCUUCACGAAAGUAACUUUAAUACCCCCUGAACCCACGAAAGCUAAGAAA
rnacentral:rRNA from 1 species